rnacentral:rRNA from 1 species
GACGAACGCUGGCGGCGUGCUUAACACAUGCAAGUCGAACGGAAAGGCCCUGCUUUUGUGGGGUGCUCGAGUGGCGAACGGGUGAGUAACACGUGAGUAACCUGCCCUUGACUUUGGGAUAACUUCAGGAAACUGGGGCUAAUACCGGAUAGGAGCUCCUGCUGCAUGGUGGGGGUUGGAAAGUUUCGGCGGUUGGGGAUGGACUGGCGGGUUAUCAGCUUGUUGGUGGGGGAGUGGCUUACCAAGGCUUUGGCGGGUAGCCGGCCUGAGAGGGUGACCGGCCACAUUGGGACUGAGAUACGGCCCAGACUCCUACGGGAGGCAGCAGUGGGGAAUAUUGCACAAUGGGCGGAAGCCUGAUGCAGCAACGCCGCGUGCGGGAUGACGGCCUUCGGGUUGUAAACCGCUUUCGCCUGUGACGAAGCGUGAGUGACGGUAAUGGGUAAAGAAGCACCGGCUAACUACGUG